GACGAACGCUGGCGGCGUGCUUAACACAUGCAAGUCGAACGGUGAAGCUCCAGCUUGCUGGAGUGGAUCAGUGGCGAACGGGUGAGUAACACGUGAGCAACCUGCCCCUGACUCUGGAAUAAGCGCUGGAAACGGCGUCUAAUACUGGAUACGAGAAGGGCCCGCAUGGGCACUUUCUGGAAAGUUUUUCGGUUGGGGAUGGGCUCGCGGCCUAUCAGCUUGUUGGUGAGGUAAUGGCUCACCAAGGCGACGACGGGUAGCCGGCCUGAGAGGGCGACCGGCCACACUGGGAAUGAGACACGGCCCAGACUCCUACGGGAGGCAGCAGUGGGGAAUAUUGCACAAUGGGCGAAAGCCUGAUGCAGCGACGCCGCGUGAGGGAUGACGGCCUUCGGGUUGUAAACCUCUUUCAGCAGGGAAGAAGCGAAAGUGACGGUACCUGCAGAAGAAGCACCGGCUAACUACGUG
rnacentral:rRNA from 1 species